CACGUAGGGCGCGAGCGUUGUCCGGAAUUAUUGGGCGUAAAGAGCUCGUAGGCGGCCUGUUGCGUCCGCUGUGAAAGCCCGGGGCUUAACCCCGGGUCUGCAGUGGAUACGGGCAGGCUAGAGGUAGGUAGGGGAGAAUGGAAUUCCCAGUGUAGAGGUGAAAUUCGUAGAUAUUGGGAAGAACACCGGUGGCGAAGGCGGCUCACUGGCUCGUAACUGACGCUCAUGCACGAAAGCUAGGGGAGCAAACAGG
rnacentral:rRNA from 1 species